AGGUGGGAAACAUUGAAAAUGUCUCUGAAAAAUCCCAGUGUUGAGUGUUACCCAGGAUCGAACCCGGGAGCUCAGGAGUGACAGCCAGUGGUCUCACCAACUGAGCUAUAGCGCCACCUAAUUUCAUACAUGUGAUAUCCCGGCGGGAUUUUAAAAAAUCCCGAUAUUUCGACACUGAUCCCGAUUCCCGAUAUUACAGCUUGAAUUCCCGAUAUUUAAAAAAAAAUCAACAUAAAAAAAAUCAAACACAGCACCUGUAUCUAAAAUGUAAACCGUGCCUCCGGGCAUUGAUUGUUAUCUGUCCAUAUCCUAAAUUAUAGCGGAUUAAAUGUUGAGUCGCCAAUUGACAGCAAGGUGACGUAAUAACCCAAAGUUAUACUUAACACGUGUCGUGUGUGUCAGUCAAUUGACCUCUUUUAUAAAUUGCCAGUAGGUAUUACACGCUAAUGUCAUCAAAACGACCCUGUAAAUUUACAUGUAUGAAUUCGGCUCAACCUUUGAUUUUCUUUGAUAAGUGCCGCACUGAUAAAGAUUAAAGGUGAGCAGAAUCAUUUAAAGUGGAUCAUUCAAACACCUGUUUAAGAAGCGGCAAGACCAUGUCUUAUUAACCUAUUUUUAGUGAGUGGGUAAUUUUUUUGUUUUGUUUAGGAAUUACACAAUCAUCGCGGCAGAAAUGUGGAUUUAAUUAACAGAAGGAUUCUUGCAUUUAUUUUGAGUCUUCUACUUACAUUACAUUAUUUAACUGUUAGAGUCUUAUGUUCAUGAACAGUGUUCAAUCUAGAGCGCUCCAUUGCGCCAUUGACCCCCUGACGCCGGCGCAAAACAAAUUCAACUGUGGGCCCGACGGGUGCACUCAUAGAAAAUGCCAUUAAUGACAUUAGAAUGCUUUCUUAAACCUGAUUAAGUACAUAAAAAGUUUCUUGUGAAUAAUAUUAAUAAAUACUGAAUUCAAAACUGAAGUUUGUAUAGAAAAACAUGAGCAUGUUGGUAAGAUAGUUACCCCACUCGGUAACCCUUUUAAAACCUUGAGCGCUACGCUCUCUCGGUCCAGGUCUGUAAAUACCAUGCAGACCUGUUUUUCGUACUGUAACUAUUACUUACUUUUGAGUCACAGUUUUUAUAAACAAAACAAAUCGUCACAGAUAAUCCAAUACGUGCAUGUAGUUGUUUUUUAACGGUCAAAACAAAUAAAUAUGCAAUAACUUUCCGGAGGAAAAAAACUAUAUAUUUGUGAAAAAGUGCGAGUUAAUUAUAGAGGUGUGCAUAAGUUAUUACGAACACGCCUUCAACCAAUUAAAAAAGUCUUAAAGAUGGAGCUAAUCAAACACGAUUGGCUAGGGAGUGUCUGACAAUUGAGUAAAUAAACUUUGAUUGGUCUUUGGCUGGUCGGCGCUAAAACAUUGUGCAUAUCAAUAAUCAAUACAGACAUCUUAAGCGUGACGUAAGAACUGCUGCCCUGACAAAAGAUCAAAGGUACCGGUAUGUCAAUAUACAUUGUCUUAGCACCUGUUGACACUUUGUUUUUAGCUCGGAUAUAUUGAGAAGGGUAAAUGUUUUUAGCCACUAUUGUAAGUUUAUAAGCUAAUUGCAAAAUAUGAUUUUCCUUUAUUUAUCAGGCGCUGAUUCAAAAACUGAACAUUGUUAUCAAAUAUCCCUGGUAACAUUUAAAUAAGAUUCAUAUGUUUCUUUGAACAUUAUGUCAUUGUAUCUUUACCAAUCAGUUCUUAAAAUUGAGCCUGCAUCAACGCUAACAGAACUCUCGAAAAAGGUCCAAAUAAUGUCAUUUUUUAGUUGAGUUAAUUAUUCUUUCACAGUAAAGAUGCAAUUCAUUUUUUUGUGUGUGUUUUUUUUUUGUGAGGGAUAUAUAGACAUUUAUAACUAGGCGUUUUUUCCAUGUUAAAUAUUAUCAAUUUAGACUUGAGAAUCUACACAAAAUGACCUCCAAUACAGUAAUAUUUGUAGCAUAAAAAUGAUUCACACUAAAAAAAAAUAUUAUUUGACUUGUGAAAAUUUUGGCGAAAGAGUUCUUGGACUCGUGAAAUUCUGACCCUACUGAGAGCCCUGGCUUGAUAUUUACCAGCAUCCUUUGAUCAAAUUAUGCAGAUGCUUGAAAUUGACAACAUCUAAAUGUCAGAUCUAUUCAUUUCUAAUCACUUUCACAUGUGCUGUUAAAAAUGUGACCGUGGGACUUCUGGACAUUGUGCUUAUGUGUAUCAUAAUACAAUGCUGAGGUAUUGAUCAUAUUAAGGGACUUAAUGGGUUCAAAUACCUGGAGUCGAUGCAUCUCAGGGAUUUCUUCCAGGAUUUUGGGAACAUGACCUAUACCCAUGAUAUUGGGAAUUUCAGCGGUGUUUUGUUAAAACUUGGGAAAAAUGCAUUAAAGACUGAAAUUUUGCAGUGAUUAAAUGGAUGUAAAGAAUUACUGUCUAGGAUGGCAUCUUCAAACAUUUAAGCACUAUUACAGUGAAGAAGCCCUUAUUUUCAAAGAUUUUAGAAUUUUUAUUCAAUAUUUUUAUUUUGUAACUUUCAAUUUGGAAUUUUUUCCUGUGGAUUGGGAAAAUAAUAUACUAUUUUCAAUUGGGAAUAUGACCCAAUAACAGCUAUAAAAUAAGCCAAAAAAAUCCCUGCAUCUCCUAGCUCCAGCAGGUGAGGUGGUUUGACCCCUGAUGUUGCUUUGAAGUCUGUAACACCAGAGGUUAGCUAAAAUCAUCUUUUCUGUUUUGGCGCAAUACCACCUAUACUGUGUGUUGCGCCAUAACACUGAAACAAACAAACAUCUGUGUUUAAAUUGUUAAAUAAAAUUAUUAUUGAAAUGUGAAUUUUUUUGUACAUAUUAUAUGUUUGUAUCAUUUUAGACUGAACAUUUUGAUGUCUGAGGGAAGAACUACAGCGUUAUGGCAACUGGAGCUCCUCUGUCACUGCGUUACCACAGUGACCAGCUCAACAAUAAAGUGGUGUCUGUAAUGAGAGAAUUUUAUCAGACAGGGGAGUUCUGUGAUGUCAUACUUCACACUGGAAAUAUUAAAAUACACGCACAUAGGAUUGUGCUGGCUGCAUUUAGUCCUUAUUUCAGAGAUUUAUUCCACGAGCCUGACAACAA